CGAAGUGGAGAGGCGCUCAAUGUUGGUCUGGCCACGCUUUGGGCAUGCGUGAGCGCUCACAGCAAAACACAGCUGGCAUGUCUAAUUUUAGCCUUGACUGCCUUGAAAAGGGACCCUUAAAGGAAAUAUAUUUUCGCUGAAACCAUUUGUAUUAUAAUGUAACAGCUGACAGACAUGUCAGAAUAUUACUUAUUAUUGGUGGGGAAAAACUCUGUCAGGUAAUUGUGCUUUUUUUUGUGAUGACAUCGGGAAAGUGAUUAAAGCAUCCCUGAAUCAAAAUCAUCAUAGAUAGACAGUGAGAGAACCAGAGCUUUUAUUUAUGAAGACGCCUGUAAACCUAAUGGGAUACCUCCUUUGAUGCUUACAAAACGGAUGUAAGGGUAAGAAUGAUCAUUUCGGCUAUGGCAAGUGGGUCCUUGUGAUCUGACGAUGCAGGGCUUGCUAAUAGUAGUCCUGGCAUAGACUCUCAAAUUUCUUCAAUGCUUAGCAUCCUCCGUGUCGUCCGAGAAGUAAAAGGAAAUACUGCAGCUUUCUGGACUGCAUACCCUGCUCCCUGGAGAGGUUCCACCCACCAGCUGGAAGGAGAGGAAGUGAAUGAAAGGACAGGAGGAGCCCGAACACCAUGUCACUCUGGAAGGGAGACAGCAGCAACCAGGCUGUGCAAGUGAGUGGUGGAAGACGAAGGAUCUCUGAAGCCUCAUCAGUCAUCGGGACCAUCAGGAAUAGUGGUUUAAGAGGACGCUCGGCCUGGGGCACCAUACCGUGUCAUCGAGUUCCCUGCCUCAGAGAUAAAGAUUCCAGCUACAUGGGUAAACGCCUGGAUCAGCCACAAAUGUACCCCCAGUACACUUACUACUAUCCUCACUGUCUCUAAACCAAGGUGAUAUUAAUUUUGUAUCGCAUUAGCCAGACUCCACUGUCUUCUUAAUAAAUAAAUAUGCGGAGAGUGACCAAGGCGUGCCUGAGUGAUCUGUGCUGCCACCGGGACUCGUUGAUGGGAUUAGUGUUCGUCACACAGAGAGAAAGAGAGGCACAGGCAGAGGGAGAAGCAGGCUCCAUGCACCGGGAGCCCGACGUGGGACUCGAUCCCCAGUCUCCAGGAUCGCAACCUGGGCCAAAGGCAGGCGCCAAACCGCUGCGCCACCCAGGGAUCUCCACAAACAGAAAAUUCUUUAGAACUCUGGAGAGGCAAUCAUUCAUCAUAUAGGUAAAAAUAAUGGCAUUGCUUCUGCCUUCCUGGAGCUUAUGGGCUGGGAAAGACAUAGAAGGUCUUUACUUCUCAGAGAUACUGUUUCUCUUUAGUUCAUGUCAAUAAAUCUCCCUGAAUCAUU